GCCUUAUCCUCUCCCCCGUCACUCUUUUCCUUACUGGGCUACUUUUUCCCCAUCCCCAUCAUCUUCACUGAGAGAGAGAGAGAGAGAGAGAGAGAGUCGAGCUGGAGCAGCCGCACCUUGCCGCCGCUCACCGGUGGGGCCUCGCCGCGCCCCGUCGGUGGCUUAGAUUUCGGGGAGGCGCUCGAGGGGAGCGACGGCGCCGGCGACCUGGGAGGCGGCGGAGGUGCUGCUCGCAGGAAGCGGCGGUGGCCGGUGGCGGCGACUGACACACUAGUGGAGCUGUUCAACGCCGCAGCAGGGGACUACCACGGCUCCGGCAAGGCGCCUGCGCUGCAAGCAGGGAGCGACGCCGGCGACGACCUGGGAGGCAGCGGAGGUGCUGCUAGCAGGGAGCGGCGGCGGCGGCGGCGACCGCCCCGCCAGUGGAGCUAUUCAACGCCGCAGCGGGGCCCUACAACGGCUCCGCCACGUUGCCUGCGCAGGGGCCUACCACGGCGCCGCGAUUUCCUCUGGCAUGUCGACAAGGUGGACUUCUACCUCGGCGCCGUCUUCGGGAGCGUCGAGACGGUGAUGGUGGUGGUCGUGCUCAUCUCGGUGCUGCUCUUCUUGGCGCGGCCGAGGACGACGGUGAUGAGCAACGUGCCAGAGACGACCAUCUACCGGCGGAUGGACCAGUACACGACGUGCCCGGCGUGCUUGUGCUGCGUGUGGAAUCGACCAUCUACGGCACCCUGCGCAAGAGGAUCACCCGAUGGAUUGACGACGACGAACGGACCUCGUCCUCGACAUGUGUGA
rnacentral:rRNA from 1 species